rnacentral:rRNA from 1 species
GAUGAACGCUAGCGGGAGGCCUAACACAUGCAAGCCGAGCGGUAUUGUUUCUUCGGAAAUGAGAGAGCGGCGUACGGGUGCGUAACACGUGUGCAACCUGCCUUUAUCUGGGGGAUAGCCUUUCGAAAGGAAGAUUAAUACUCCAUAAUAUAUUGAACGGCUUCGUUUAAUAUUGAAAGCUCCGGCGGAUAGAGAUGGGCACGCGCAAGAUUAGCUAGUUGGUGAGGUAACGGCUCACCAAGGCGAUGAUCUUUAGGGGGCCUGAGAGGGUGAUCCCCCACACUGGUACUGAGACACGGACCAGACUCCUACGGGAGGCAGCAGUGAGGAAUAUUGGUCAAUGGGUGCAAGCCUGAACCAGCCAUCCCGCGUGAAGGACGACUGCCCUAUGGGUUGUAAACUUCUUUUGUAUAGGGAUAAACCUACCCUCGAGAGGGUAGCUGAAGGUACUAUACGAAUAAGCACCGGCUAACUCCGUG